AAAUUGAAGAGUUUGAUCAUGGCUCAGAUUGAACGCUGGCGGCAGGCCUAACACAUGCAAGUCGAACGGUAGCACAGAGAGCUUGCUCUCGGGUGACGAGUGGCGGACGGGUGAGUAAUGUCUGGGAAACUGCCUGAUGGAGGGGGAUAACUACUGGAAACGGUAG
rnacentral:rRNA from 1 species